GUUCAGGGCAGGAGCCGAGGCUGGCGGCGGGGCAGAGCCCCCGGGUGCCCCCGGCCGGGGCGGGGAUGCGCAGCGGGGCGGCCGGGAGGGCUGGGGGCUCCGGGCCACCCCAUCCCCGCCUCUGCCCCUUGCUGCCGGCACCGAGCUCCGGCAAGGAGAGAGGGGAGGGCGAAGAAAAGCCAAAAAAAAAAAUAAAAAUAAAAUAAAAAAAACCGGGAAAGCAGCAAAAAGCCGCGGCACCGGGGAAGGAGGGGAGGAGGAGGAGGAGGAAAAAGGGGAGGGGGGGGAGGAGGGAAGGGGGCGGCGGGGCGGGCAGGGCUCGGGGCUGGGUGGAUGCUCGCCGAGGAAACCGGAGAAGCUCCUUCAGCAGUCCUCUGCCGCCCGCCACGGGCCCUGGCCCGCCGCCACCGGGCGCCAGGCACCGAGCGCCCGCCCCGUCGGGCGGGGACCGCGCCUGGAGCCCCCGCGCCCCUCCCGCACCGGGCACUGCCGGCUUGGGGGGGGGGGGGGCCCCCCCCCCCCAAAAUUGUACAGCCCCCCCGGGGGGAGCUGGGGGGGUCGUGGGUGUCGGGCUGGGUCCGGGAAAGGGGGCGUCGGGGGGAAGGGGAGAGCCCCGCAGCUUGGGGGGCCCUGGCAGAGAGGUUUGGGGAGGGGGGAGUGGGGUCGCCAGGUCUGGAGAGCGUCAGGGAGAGCUGAGACCCCCCCGGGGUUAAGUGUGGCCAGGGCGAGGGGCAGGCACAGGGCCCCUCAUCCCCUCCUGGGGCUCCCCGUGCCCCCAGCAUCGCCCUGGUCUCCUCGGGCAAGCCACCCUCCUGGCCCAGAGCGGGGAGGAGGUUUGGAAACAUCGCUGGAAAGAUGCAGCCGGAGCCGGGGCCGCCUCUGAUGGGCCCCGAGUGCCGCAGUCUGCUGAGCGAGACCCAUUUUGCAAGGUAGCUGUGAGCCCCCAGAGCCUCCCGAAGAGAUCCAAAGGCAGCCAGGCGGCACAAAGCCACGCAUCGCCAAACCCACCAACCCUCGGGGGGCUCCGCUUGGAGGCACCAGCCCUGGGAAGUUGCAGGCCCGGGGGCUGUUAGUGCUCACGGCCCGUGCCAGCGCCUGCAAGAGAAGUUUGCUGGUGCCCAGGUGAUGGCAGGAAUCGGUUCUGGGAGAUUGCUCGCAAGCAGAGACCCCCCC
rnacentral:lncRNA from 1 species